rnacentral:rRNA from 1 species
CCCCCAGGAACAUGAAGGGGAGAUGCGUUAGUCUGCGGCACCGACGACGUGGAAUGUCGCCAACACCUAGUUCCCAACGUUUACGGCGUGGACUACCAGGGUAUCUAAUCCUGUUCGCUCCCCACGCUUUCGCUCCUCAGCGUCAGUAAUGGCCCAGAGAUCCGCCUUCGCCACCGGUGUUCCUCCUGAUAUCUGCGCAUUUCACCGCUACACCAGGAAUUCCGAUCUCCCCUACCACACUCUAGCUAGCCCGUAUCGAAUGCAGACCCGGGGUUAAGCCCCGGGCUUUCACAUCCGACGUGACAAGCCGCCUACGAGCUCUUUACGCCCAAUAAUUCCGGACAACGCUUGCGCCCUACGUAUUACCGCGGCUGCUGGCACGUAGUUAGCCGGCGCUUCUUCUGCAGGUACCGUCACUCUCGCUUCUUCCCUGCUGAAAGAGGUCUACAACCCGAAGGCCGUCAUCCCUCACGCGGCGUCGCUGCAUCAGGCUUUCGCCCAUUGUGCAAUAUUCCCCACUGCUGCCUCCCGUAGGAGUCUGGGCCGUGUCUCAGUCCCAGUGUGGCCGGUCGCCCUCUCAGGCCGGCUACCCGUCGUCGCCUUGGUAGGCCAUUACCCCACCAACAAGCUGAUAGGCCGCGGGCUCAUUCUUCACCGCCGGAGCUUUUAACCCCCACCCAUGCAGGCAGAAGUAUUAUU